GCUUGUCUCAAAGAUUAAGCCAUGCAUGUCUAAGUAUAAACGACUUUAUACUGUGAAACUGCGAAUGGCUCAUUAUAUCAGUUAUAGUUUAUUUGAUGGUCCUUGCUACUUGGAUAACCGUAGUAAUUCUAGAGCUAAUACAUGCAUCAAUACCCAACUGUUCGCGGAAGGGUAGUAUUUAUUAGGUAUAGACCAACCCUCUUCGGAGGUGCUUUGGUGAUUCAUAAUAACUUUCGGAUCGACGCAAGUCGAUGCAUCAUUCAAGUUUCUGCCCUAUCAGUUGUGGAUGGUAGGGUAUUGGCCUACCAUGACUUUAACGGGUAACGGAGAAUUAGGGUUCGAUUCCGGAGAGGGAGCCUGAGAAAUGGCUACCACAUCCAAGGAAGGCAGCAGG
rnacentral:rRNA from 1 species